rnacentral:tRNA from 1 species
GGAGUGGUAGUUCAGUUGGUUAGAAUACCGGCCUGUCACGCCGGGGGUCGCGGAUUCGAGUCCCGUCCNAUCUC